AACGCAAUAGGUUGAACUCACGACACCAUUCUCUUCAAAACAACGGAUCAUGCGCCCAAAUUGGACAUCGGAGCUCAAAUUUGCAUGCUUAGAUUUUGCUACUAGAUUUUUGCCUUUCAUGUUUGAUUUUCGAUCCACUCCGUCAUCAAAUUUACAUCACACUUAUCCAACCACGAUUGUUUGUUUUGUUUCCUUAUUUUCACGUCAGAUUCACCAUGUUUCUUCCCUUUUGAAUUAAGCAUAUUUUUCAACCUGAAAAGAAGGAAAGCCUUAUCCAAACAGAUGUUAAUCAUUUUAUAUUACAUAUUUUAAACUACUAUUUGAACGCUAGGAAUUAAAAUGAUUCGAUCUCGAUCCUUAUAGAUCCACAAAAGCAGCAAAACAGUGUAAAUCCUAGAGAAUGCCAUCAAUGUAAAAGCAUAAAGAUGAGUUCUACAUAACAGAACAUAUAGACAUUAUGACAGCAGAAUAAUAUUCAAUCCACCUCAAACAGUGAAAUAUAGGGGCGUGAUAUCCACACACCUCAUUUUACUUCUCACACAUUUUUUUAAUUUUCGACCGUCGGAUCGGAUGAAUUGAAGAAGAUCAACGGACAUAAAUUAACAAAGAGUGUGUAAGAAGUAAUUUAGGAUGUGUGGAUAGCACACACCUGAAAUAUAAUGCAUACGCUAUGUACAUAGAUUAAUACUAUUUAUUAAGUCUAAAUCGCGUACCCUAUUGAUCUUUUGUUUUCUUUCAAAUAUGUGUCAUGCUUAAUUAACGACGGUGUGCUUAUCGUAACACCACCAACUGAAAAAACUUACCAACUAGCUUUUUACCUAGUGUUACUUUUUCUUAAAAACUACAACAAUAUAUAAAAAUAAAAAUAAAAAGUUUUUGUCACAAAUGAUUCCUGAAAUUGACUCAUCUCAUCAAGGUAGUCUCUAAAAUUGAAAAUCAAUCAAUGUAGUUCCUGAAAAUGAGUGUCGCAAAUCAAUGUGAUCAUUCCUUCAUAAUUCAGUUAAAAAUUAUGUUAAGUGCUGACGUGGCACUUAAAUGGGUCUCACAAAUUUAAUAAAAUAUUAUUUUGUUAAUUAAAAAUAUUUAAAUAUAAAAAAUAAAAAAAAUAUUUAAAUAAUAAUAAAAAAAGAAGAUAAUUGAACACUGUUCAUCAUCUUCUUCCCGUGAGAAUAAAUUUUUUUAAAGUUUUUAUGUUUUAAAUUCUUGACAUUUCUUGUUGUUAAUUUCUUGAAAUUUCCUCGUUUUUAGCUUGAUUUAGUGUUUUUCAUCUGGGUUCUUAACAUUUUCUGAGAUUAUUGGUUCCGUUCCGGCAGAUUUUUGAGUUAGAUUUUUUGUGAGGAAAAUGGAAUUUAGGUGAAGAAAAUGGGUUAGAUUUCUAGGUUCUUGAAAAUUUCCUGAGAUUCUUGAACUUUGUCCAUGAGAUUGUUCCGGUCCCCGUUUGUAUGAUGAUGAAACCGACUAGGAGGCCGUCGAAGGUUCGCCACACGAAGGUGGAGGAACAGGGUGGGAAAAUCCAAUGGCCACCAUGUGUGCGCCAAAGAUCUUUCAACUGACCCGGGAACCCGACCACAGUUCUGACGGAGGCACUCUACCCAGAGAGUGGGAAUGGGGGUGUAGGGUGGGGGCUGUAGUGGGAGGUUGGGAGGGGAAGAAGAUGAUGAACAGUGUUCAAUCAUCUCCUUAUUCUUAUUUUUUAUGUUUCAAGUUUUUAAUUAUAAAAACUAAAAAUUGUUUUUUAAUAUUUAAAUCUUUUUAUUUCACAAAAUAAUAUUUUAAUAAAUUUGUGAGAUCCAUUUAAAUGUCAUGUCAGCACUUAACAUAAUUUUUAACCGAAAUAUGACGAAAUGACCACAUUAAUUUGCCACACUCAUUUUCAGGGACUACAUUGAUUAAUUUUCAAUUUCAAUGACCAACUUGAUAGAAUUGGUCAAUUUCAAUAAUCAUUUGUGAUAAAAACUACAACAAUAUAUUAAAAAAACUUACCAACUAGCUUUUUUCUUAGUGUUACUUUUUCUCAAAAACUACAAUAAUAUAAAAAAAAUAAAUGGUCUGUUCACGUACAAGACAUCUGUGUUAAGGGCACUUCCAGGGGUGUGCUUUCCCCCGAGGGACAGGCCCGCGAACAGUGGUAGAGAGCCCGAGCAACCAAGCCUAACUUGUGCUGGCGAUGGAGCCCGAGGGAGAGGCCCAGCAAGCGUUGCCAGCCCGAAGGCAACUUGACGUGGGCUGACGUCAGUCACAAUAUUUAAUUAAUAAAAAUAUAAAAUAUUAAUAAAAAAAGUAAAAUUAAAAAAAAUUGUAAAACCCAGGCUUCGAACCCAACGGCUCUCGCUGGAGUUUGUCGCCGAGGUUGAUGAACACCCACAGACAAAUGGCAGAGAUCUAGUCCUUCCUCCGCCGCAGCUGCCGCCGCACUCCACACCGCCUUCGCCCCCACGCACUCGCGAUCUUCCUCCUUCCAUUGGCGCGCCAAGAUCGCACGAUUUGGGAUUUGUUUUUGGGGGAAAGAGGAGAGAGAGAGAGAGAGUUUGGUUAGGGAGCGGGGAUGAUCGGGACCAUUGAUGGAGGCUGAGGUGGGUGGGAUGGUGAAGAUGGAGGAAGAGAGGCGAGGAGGGUUUGGGUGCGUUGGGGGGAGGGGGAGGGGGACACGGGUUAAAAGUCUGGGUGCUGGUUGAAAAAGAAAGCUGUUGAGUUUGAAAAAGAAAGAAAAAAAAAACAGAGCUUGGUGAGUUGGCA
rnacentral:lncRNA from 1 species